rnacentral:rRNA from 1 species
UACGGGGGGAGCAAGCGUUGUUCGGAUUUACUGGGCGUAAAGGGCGCGUAGGCGGCGUAACAAGUCACUUGUGAAAUCUCCGGGCUUAACCCGGAGCGGCCAAGUGAUACUGUUGUGCUAGAGUGCGGAAGGGGCUACUGGAAUUCUCGGUGUAGCGGUGAAAUGCGUAGAUAUCGAGAGGAACACCGGCGGCGAAGGCGGGUAGCUGGGCCGACACUGACGCUGAGGCGCGAAAGCCAGGGGAGCGAACGGG